UGCCGAUCUAGGUCGUGUGACCCGUCUGGUGUAGUCCUGGAACAAGGGUUUUGCUGCGGAGGGAAACGGCCAGAGAGACCUCGAUCUAAGACCGGGGUUCGGAGACUGGCGGGCCUCGGAACAGCAGAGCUAGCGGACUUCCGGUCUGGCCCUCCGCUCACGGCCGAGGGCAAGGCGGGUUAGGUCACCUGCUGAGGAAAGAGCUCAAUAUGUCACGUGUUCCUCUCCCAAUGACGUGGACCUCAGUUCCCUCUCCAGUGAAGUGGGCACAGUGUUGCCCGAAAAAGGGUGCUCUGGGGCUUGCCUGAGACGGGACGCGUGGAAAUGCCCUGCCGAAUAUGAAUGGGGCGAUGGCCUCGCGGGACGGAGCAGCCCAGGAGAGCUGACCGUGGGCUGGGUUGUGGAGCGGAGCCCCAGGGCCUCGGCUGACUUAGCGGCCAGUCGUACAUAGCGGGUAUGCGGCGGGCCCGACGCCAGUCGUUGUGGACCACUGACUUGUAAUCUUUACGACCUCAGUGAGGGUCAGAAGUGUCCGCGAGCCCUGUAGGCGAGGAGAGGCCUGGCUGAGGGCGCACAGCCUGGAAGGGGAGAAACUAGAGCUGGACCCUGCUUGACCCACAGACCCUCCGCCAGGUUGCCUUUGCGAGGCAAGAAGCGAAGGUUGGCGAGCCAGCUGGGAGUACCCACCCCCUCCAUGCCUGGUGGAGUCACCCAAGCCCCAGCGACACCCCCGGCCUGCCCAAGGUACUGGUGACCCUGGAGGCCGGGGCCCUGGCUUCUCAGUCAGGGUCUCCUCCCCGUGGCGGCAGAGCUGUCUGGCGUUUUGAGCCCUUUACACCAGGGGCAAGAGGGCUGCAGGCCAGAGCCAGCAAAAGAGAAGCAGCAGAGGGAAUGAGAAACCUAGAAGGUGGAACGGGAAGGAGGGAGUGAAAUGGGCAAAGGCCCAAAAAAAAAAAACAACAACUCCCCCCUCCUAAGUUUAGUGCAUUUAACUCUAUAAAUAUCUAUUGAACACUUACUGGAUGCCAGGCACUUUUCUAGGCACUGGGCAGCUAGCAUUAAACAGGAGGCAGAAACCCCUGCCUUCAACAAAAUCUAUGCUGUGUUGAAUAAGUGAUACAGGGAAAAGCUGAAGAUGGGGAGAGAGGUGGGGAGGGUAUAGAGGAUGGGAAGAAAUUUACAAAAGAGGCAGGGAGGGCUUUACUGAGAAGGUGACUAUGAAGGAAGUGAAGGAAGGGCAUUGCAGGCCAGGGGCUCAUUGUGUGCAAGGGCCCUGGGGUGGAAGUGAUCAUGCAGUGGCGUGAGUGUGGGUUUGAGUAGCAGGUGAUGGUUAGAGGUAAGGCGUGAGCCACCGCGCCCGGCCCACCACAGUUUUAAUUCUGAAGAUGCAGUAUUAAGAGAGGAGGCUAAAGAAGCACACACUUGCUUAAUUUUUCCUUCAUUAUAUGCUGGGGAUGGCAGCAGCAGCUUGUGGCUGAGUUUCGGUGUUCUGCCUGACGGGUGACAGCUGAGCAGGCACUAGGUCCUUGCAAAACGCAGGAUGCUGGGGAGGGUCUUCACCUUGCAUGGUGUCCCGUCCCACACUGCUCCUCAGGUUGGGAGUGGUGGGGAGUUACUGUUUAAUGUGUACAGAAUUUCUCUUUGGGAUGACAAAAAUGUCUGGAAAUGGAUGGUGGUGAUGGUUGUAGAGCUUUACAGAUUUACUUAAUGCCACUGAAUUAUUUUACUUAAUGCCACUGAAUUAUACACUUCAAAUGAUUAAAAUGGUAAAUUUUAUUUAUCUUUUACCACAAUUUUUUUUAAAACCUCAGUAAAUAAAAUGCAACUUAAGGCUUCUGCUUUUUGCUUUUCAGUAAAGGAAACUACUUUUUUUUAAAGUCUGUCCCUUUUAAGCCUUUUACAUUCCUCAAGUAAGGCUCACCCCCAGAAUGGGGGUCAGGGAUCGGUGCCGAUGGGGCUAGAGCACCACCGUCAUUGCUACUGCUAAUGACAAUGGUGAUAGCAACAACAGCCGUGAUUGAUUGCUCACUGUGCUAGCAACUGUACCACAUGGUCCCAUCUGUUCUUCACACAGCCCCAGGGGCAGGCACGCUCAUGGGAACAUAGCACAGGGUAGUUAACGGACUCAUCCAAGGUCACGCAGCUGGGAGUGGCAGCACCAGGAUCCCUCCAGAACCAGAGCUCUUUCUCACCACCCACGUCAGUGCCAGCAAAGCCUCCCAAACUCCUCCAAAGCCACCUCGAUAACAGGAGAGAGGUGUCCUUCACCAAGCCCGAGAGGGAGGCUGCCAGGUGCCUGUGGAAUAAGCCCUCUGGUCCAGAUGAGGACUAGCAAGAGGAAGGGCUGUUUGCCUUCUUUAAAAAGAUUACAAUAAUGACCGGUGUUUAUUAAACACAUACUAUGUUCUACAAUAGCGUUCUCCAGGCUGACGUCACCUAUA
rnacentral:lncRNA from 1 species